GCCCAAUGAUGAGACCAAGGCGAAUACGAGCUUUCUGUGUUUGAGUUUGGGUACUUCUAGUCUUCAAUGACAGGUAAUCUUGGUAGUGUAGUGGAGAAUUCCUGCCCUGCUGUAAGGGCCUGUCUACAGUCAUUUGGCUCACACCCAAAUUAGUCUUCCACAGUUAAGGGUGGACUAAUCAGGGUAGCAAAGCCAACAGAACGUUUUAAUGUAUGGUCGUGUACGAGUGCAAAGACUACGAAGUCUACCCAGCUCUUUAUAUCUCAGUCUGCAGUGAUUUACUUCUUUGGUAAUCUGAGGGCC
rnacentral:snoRNA from 1 species